GGGCGAGUGGCGGAAUUGGUAGACGCGCCAGACUUAGGAUCUGGUGGUGCAAAUCGUGGAGGUUCAAGUCCUCUCUCGCCCA
rnacentral:tRNA from 1 species